rnacentral:rRNA from 1 species
GAUGAACGCUGGCGGCGUGCCUAAUACAUGCAAGUCGAGCGAACAGACGAGGAGCUUGCUCCUCUGACGUUAGCGGCGGACGGGUGAGUAACACGUGGAUAACCUACCUAUAAGACUGGGAUAACUUCGGGAAACCGGAGCUAAUACCGGAUAAUAUAUUGAACCGCAUGGUUCAAUAGUGAAAGACGGUUUUGCUGUCACUUAUAGAUGGAUCCGCGCCGCAUUAGCUAGUUGGUAAGGUAACGGCUUACCAAGGCAACGAUGCGUAGCCGACCUGAGAGGGUGAUCGGCCACACUGGAACUGAGACACGGUCCAGACUCCUACGGGAGGCAGCAGUAGGGAAUCUUCCGCAAUGGGCGAAAGCCUGACGGAGCAACGCCGCGUGAGAGAUGAAGGUCUUCGGAUCGUAAAACUCUGUUAUUAGGGAAGAACAAAUGUGUAAGUAACUAUGCACGUCUUGACGGUACCUAAUCAGAAAGCCACGGCUAACUACGUG